GAUGAACGCUGGCUACAGGCUUAACACAUGCAAGUCGAGGGGAAACGGCAUUGAGUGCUUGCACUGAAUGGACGUCGACCGGCGCACGGGUGAGUAACGCGUAUCCAACCUUCCCGUUACUGCGGGAUAACCUGCCGAAAGGCAGACUAAUACCGCAUGUUCUUCGAUGACGGCAUCAGAUUCGAAGCAAAGAUCCGUCGGUAACGGAGGGGGAUGCGUCUGAUUAGCUAGUUGGCGGGGCGACGGCCCACCAAGGCGACGAUCAGUAGGGGUUCUGGGCGGAAGGUCCCCCACAAUGGAACCGAGCCCCAGUCCACACUCCUACGGGAGGCAGCAGUAAUGAAUGCUGGUCAAUGGGCGGAAGCCUGAACCAGCCAAGUAGCGUGCAGGAUGACGGCCAUACGGGUUGUAAACUGCUUUUAGGCGAGGAAAAAGUGAGGGACGCGUCCCUUUUUGCAGGUACCGCAUGAAUAAGGACCGGCUAAUUCCGUG
rnacentral:rRNA from 1 species